ACACUCCUACGGGAGGCAGCAGUGGGGAAUAUUGGACAAUGGGCGCAAGCCUGAUCCAGCCAUGCCGCGUGAGUGAUGAAGGCCCUAGGGUUGUAAAGCUCUUUCACCGGUGAAGAUAAUGACGGUAACCGGAGAAGAAGCCCCGGCUAACUUCGUGCCAGCAGCCGCGGUAAUACGAAGGGGGCUAGCGUUGUUCGGAUUUACUGGGCGUAAAGCGCACGUAGGCGGACUAUUAAGUCAGGGGUGAAAUCCCGGGGCUCAACCCCGGAACUGCCUUUGAUACUGGUAGUCUUGAGUUCGAGAGAGGUGAGUGGAAUUCCGAGUGAAGAGGUGAAAUUCGUAGAUAUUCGGAGGAACACCAGUGGCGAAGGCGGCUCACUGGCUCGAUACUGACGCUGAGGUGCGAAAGCGUGGGGAGCAAACAGGAUUAGAAACCCCGGUAGUCCCAUG
rnacentral:rRNA from 1 species